GUGCUCACUUUGGCAGCACAAAAACUGAAAUUGAAACUAUAGAGAGAAGAUUAUCAUAGCCCCUGCAUGAGGAUGACACACAAAUUUUUCAAGUGUUUCAUAUUUCU